CGGACGGGUGGGUAAUGUCUGGGAAACUGCCUGAUGGAGGGGGAUAACUACUGGAAACGGUAGCUAAUACCGCAUAACGUCGCAAGACCAAAGAGGGGGACCUUCGGGCCUCUUGCCAUCGGAUGUGCCCAGAUGGGAUUAGCUAGUAGGUGGGGUAAAGGCUCACCUAGGCGACGAUCCCUAGCUGGUCUGAGAGGAUGACCAGCCACACUGGAACUGAGACACGGUCCAG
rnacentral:rRNA from 1 species